UGGGGAAUCUUGGACAAUGGGCGAAAGCCUGAUCCAGCAAUGCCGCGUGCAGGAAGAAGGCCUUCGGGUUGUAAACUGCUUUUGUACGGAACGAAAAGGCUCUUUCUAAUAAAGAGGGCCCAUGACGGUACCGUAAGAAUAAGCACCGGCUAACUACGUGCCAGCAGCCGCGGUAAUACGUAGGGUGCGAGCGUUAAUCGGAAUUACUGGGCGUAAAGCGUGCGCAGGCGGUUCUAUAAGACAGAUGUGAAAUCCCCGGGCUCAACCUGGGAAUGGCAUUUGUGACUGUAGAGCUAGAGUACGGUAGAGGGGGAUGGAAUUCCGCGUGUAGCAGUGAAAUGCGUAGAUAUGCGGAGGAACACCGAUGGCGAAGGCAAUCCCCUGGACCUGUACUGACGCUCAUGCACGAAAGCGUGGGGAGCAAACAGGAUUAGAUACCCCUGUAGUCCCUGAGCGGGCUGGCAAGGCGCAU
rnacentral:rRNA from 1 species